CUGUCUUGUGGUUUUCUGGCUAUUUCUUUUUUUGGUAACUAUGUAAUUUAUAUAUAUUAUAUUCAUAAAUAUAAUAUACAGUGUAUUAUGUAUAUUAUUGUGGAUAAUAAUAAUUAUUAGGUACAUAAAAUUAACGAAAAUCUUGGAAUGAGAAUUAUUAAUUUUAUUUUUAGAGACGCCUAGAAGCUAUUAAAGCUUCAUCUGUGUAAUAGCAGAAAGAAAAGAAUGCGGUCAAAAAUUGACCAAAGUCAGUAAAAAAGCAACCAAUGUGAUUUUUGAUAUUUUACAUGACGGACAAUUUGAUAAAAAAGUAAAUAUAUAAUAAUUAAUAAAUAUUAACUGCUCAAAAAUUUACUUUAAACAUAUUACUUAUGCAAUUUCUCAAUAAUAUAUUUAAAAGUAUGUAUGUAUAAUUGAUUGAUUAUUUAUAAAAUAAUAUGUUUCUUAACAUUUUUAAAAUAUUACAUUAUUACAUAAUAUCUAUUUAUAUAUAUUGGUAAUUCAUUAGGUGCAAUGUAUAAUAGUAGUGAUGUUUCAAAUAGGAUGGUUUCUGUAAGGAUGGAUUUAAAGAUCAUCCUGCUGUAAUUGAACAACUCGAUUUAGUCGAAAAAGGAUUAACAAUUUACUCAUUUAUAAACUUUAGAUUUUGCUUAAAACUUACAAGAUAUUUUAAGUAAUAAUUACUAAUUGUUUUUUUACUGUUUUUAUUUAUUCAUGGACCAUACAGUUGAUUAAUUACAAAUGCAGAACUUGAUUUCUAGAUGUUUAUAAAUUUGAUCCCGAUUUUGAAGCAAAUGAAGAACAUUACAAAUCACUGCGAACAGAAAUAUUAAGGUCAGACAAUGAAGACGAAUCAGAUAAUGAUGAUGAUAAAGGAUAAGGUAAAGAAAUUUAAUUUAAAAUUAUAUUUGUUAGAUAAAUUAUUUUAAUCUUUUUUGUUUAUAUAGAAAGACAUAUUUUUUACUAUAUAUAAGAAAUACUAAAAUAUAAUUUUAGUAUUUCUUUUUUAGAAGAAAGAGAAGCGGUUACAAACAUCAGUGCAUUACGAAAAUUCAUGUAUCUAACAAUACAUUCUUCCCUUGAUUAUGAAAUCUUUAAUGGUCUUCAACAUGAUAUUUCUCUUUACUGGUAAUGAUAUUUUACCAUAGGAUACCAUAAUCUUAAAAUAUAUAUGUAUAUUAAUUUUUAAUUUGUUUGAUAUUAUACAAUCUGGAAUAACAAUAAGCAUUCUCUUCUGGGAUGUUAUCUUUGUCACUACUUCUGAGGCUGUUUAAAUUUUUAAAAGUGCAGGUUAUGAUUUUAAACAGAAUGAUACACAUUAGCAAUUACAUGUAACAAUAUGAAUUGGUCAUUUUAUAUUUUAUUUGUGUGUGCCAAGUUAAAAAAAAUGUUAAAUAUAUUUAAUUUUAAAAUUGUAUUAAUACAUAUUUGAAAUUCUAAACUAAUUUGAUAACAUCAAUUGUAAUAUUUGAGUUUUAAAAUACAAUUUAUGCUAUUUUCGUAUUAUCAUGUAUCAUUACAAAAGAAAAAUAAUGUUGAAGACCUCUAAAAUAUAAAUGUUUAAAUAUUUAUUUUUAUAUUUUUUUCCCCCAGGAAGACCUUUUCCUUUGACUGAACUGAGCAUUCUCUCUCAAACCUUAAGCUUUACCCAUGUUAUCUACAUGCCGCUACACCAACACCAGCGUCUGAGCUCUUCAAAAUUUCAUCUUGCUCAAUCACCUCAAAGUUAUAGCGCCUCCCAUUCCAACGCAUUGGCCAUCCCAUAGCAUCCGUCACCCUGACAACCUUGAAUUUUUUGUUACAAAUCUCCCUAAUCAAUUUUCUACUGAAAUUAUACAUUUAUAUGAUCCAGUUUCUUAUCAUACACCUGUCUUGCUUCUCAUCAGAGCCCAACCCUCUUUGAAGCAAAAUAGACCUACCAUUACUUCGGGUAUCACAAACUGGAACAAAUUCAAAGUUACUAUCUCAAACAAAAUAAUUCUUAAUACCAAAUUUAAAUCAUCUACUGAUGUCGAUCAAGCAAUUUUCAAACUUUCUGAUGACAUUCAAAAAUCAGCCAAGGACUCAUCUACCCAGAGUCCUUCCUAUUCUCAAUCACUCAAUCUUUCUCCAGAAUUAGGACAACUUAUUGCUGAAAAACGCAGAACCAGUUCAAAAUGGUAACAAACACACUACUCGAUGGACAAGAUUAACUACAAUUAUCUUUCUAACAAACUAAAGUCUCUUUUCAAAACUCACAAAACCAAUCUGUACAAAAAUCACAUUAAAAAUCUCUUUUAAAAAUGGAUCUCUCUGGCGCAAAACAAAAUCAAUUUUACAGUUUAAGGACACCACUCUUCCUCUAGAUAACUCACUUGUACCACAGACAGCGAAAAAGCUGAUACUCUCACUGAAGAACUACCAGGAGUAUUCAAACCUCACCACAUUUUCAUAACAGUACUUCAUAUGUUGUCAGUCAUGAAGUCUCUCCAUUCAACUUUAUCUAUGGCCCUUCCUGCAAAACCAACCUCCUCAAUUGAGAUAGCGUUUAUUAUAAAAAAAAUUGGCAAACAACAAAUCCCCAGGUCACAACUUUAUCUCCAACAGAGUUGUUAAAAAUCUCUCUGCAAAAGAAAUUUAACUCAUAUUUCUAGGGCUGCCCUUCCUUUAUCGUACUUUUCAACUACCUGGAAAUCUUGAGUUAUUGUCACAAUUCUCAAACCUGGUAAGCUUCCAGAAAACCUCUCCUCUUACAGUCUCAUUAGCCUACUACCGGUUUUGGGAAAAACUCGAAAAAAAUCAUUCUCAAGCGUAUCACCACUAUAGUAUAAGCAAGAAACAGUAUCCUAAACUUCCAGUUUAGCUUCCACUCACACCAUGCCACAAUUCAUCAACUUCACCAUGUUGCAGACAUCAACUCAUCAGCACUCAAAACCAACAAAUUGCUGCACCGGAGUUUUUUUGGAUGUUGCAAUAGCCUUUGAGACCAUCUGGCAUAAAGAUCUUCUCUUCGAACUUAAAAAUAUUUGUCCAGCUCCUUUAUACCUAAUACUUAAAUCCUAUCAUGAAAACCUCUCAUUUAAUGUUUGUCACAAUUUAUAACACAAAAUCAAUAUCCUAUCUGCUGGUGUCCCUCAAUAAAGUGACAUCUCUCCAUUCCUAUAUACCAUGUAUAAGUCGAACCUGCCUACCUUUGAAAAUACCAUAGUCUGAACAUACACUGAUGAUACCUCUUUAUUAUCAGCUUCUUCCAACCAUACCAUUAAGUCUCAACAACUACAAAAUUACCUAAAAUCUCUUUCAUAAUGGUUCACCAACUGGAAAUUAAAAUCAAUGAAUCAAAGUUUUCCUUUGUCACCUUCUCGCUCAAACCUCAAAACUACCCAGCCGUAUCUAACAACAACAUUAUCAUUUCUCAUUCGAAUGAAGUUAAAUAUCUUGAUCUUACUUUUGACAGGCGCUUAAUCUGAUCUCUUCAUCUUAAAGACCUUCGUAAGAAACUUAACUCCUGUUAAAGCCUCUUCUUCGUUCCAAUCUAACCAUACCAAUCAAAAUCAUUUUAUACAAAACUUCUUCAACCAAUAUGGACAUAUAGUAUAGUAAUCUGGGGCUCUGCAAAGAACUCAAAUAAAAGAACCAUACAAGCACUCAAAAACAUUUGUCUGCGGUUAAUCACAGGUGCACCAUGGUUGGUCUCAAAGGAGACCCUAAAUUCCGACCUUAAAUUACCUUCCAUAAAUGAAACUGCUGCUACCUACUAUAAAUGCUUUCACGCCAAACUACUAGAUAUUCCAAACCAACUUCACUAACACUUCCUGGAAAUCCUAACAGAAAACUCAAAAGAAACUGGUGCUAAGACCUGAAAACUUAAGAAUUAAUAACUUAGAAAUAUUACGAAGUAUUACAAAUGUGUGAUUUUCUUUUUAUGUUUAUAUAAAUGUCAACUGUCUGUAUAUUAUUAAUAUUACUUAUUGUACAUUUUGUAUAAUAAUUUUUUAAAUAAAG